CCCAGAGUCUCUGCAACCAUCCCAACCCCUCCAGGAUUGGGACAGCUGUUGGAAAGACACCAGAAAGGAUGCAGAUGAAAUAAAUUCAUACAAAAAGUCACGUGAGGGCCAGGCUGCAGGUACAGAUUCUCAGGGCUUUGUCUGCUUAGUGUGCUUUGGGGUAACUAAGUGCUGGGUGUGGCCCCAUGAGGCCCGACCGGAGGGACUUUGCUAACUGUGUGGAGGCAGCCUGGAUCACAGCAAGAAUUAAGUCUAGACGUGCAGCGCUCCCUGCCUGGAACACGACAGCAGAGUUUCUCUUUCGGUGUCAGAGAGGAGCGUGUGGUAUCAACAACCUGUUUGUUGCCUCCAAUCUUUGAUUUUCUCAUCAGAGACCCCCAGCUGGCUCCC